rnacentral:rRNA from 1 species
UACGUAGGGUGCAAGCGUUGUCCGGAAUUAUUGGGCGUAAAGAGCUUGUAGGCGGUUUGUCGCGUCUGCUGUGAAAUUUCGGGGCUCAACCCCGAACUUGCAGUGGGUACGGGCAGACUAGAGUGUGGUAGGGGAGACUGGAAUUCCUGGUGUAGCGGUGAAAUGCGCAGAUAUCAGGAGGAACACCGAUGGCGAAGGCAGGUCUCUGGGCCACUACUGACGUGAGAAGCGAAAGCAUGGGGGAGCGAAACAGG